AGUUGUCCGAUUCGAGGCUUGAAAAUGGAAUCUUCUUUGGAAAGGAAUGCAAAUUCAAAUUGGUUGAGUCCCAAACGAGUAUCAAAUAUUAGAGGAGAAAAUUAAAAAAAAUCAAGAAAAUCAUAGUGAAAAAAGAUAAAUUAAGCACAUUAGCCUAAUUAAUAAGAGAAAGAGUUACUGGUCAACAUAUAUUACACUUAUACUACUAUAGUUUUAUAUCUUAAUUAUUAUAUACCUAAAUUAUCACUUAAUUUUAAAUAUCAAUGUAUAUUUUUUAAUACAAAGAAAGUGAGUGUGUUAUCUCUUCAUUGUAAUUUGUAAAUUAUUAAAAUUUUAUCAUGUACACAUCUGGUCAACGAGAGUGAUAAUUUUAAUAGGUAAAUUAUGAAUGAUUGAAAUAAACUCGCGAUAAAAUAAUUUUUUUAGGUGUAUUUUUUAUGCUUAAUUUUAAAAGAAAAUAAAAGGUCUUAAUUUCAUAAACCCCUUCCAAGUUGGAAAUAAGAGGGUUUUUUUUUUUCCGUGCUUUGCGACAUUGUAGUCAUCUUCUCCAUUUCAAUCCCAACUAUCGAAGGCAAACGCCGGGAAAUGGGAGCAGCAAGCAAGGCAGGGGACUUGUUAUUUAAGGCCUUCGUCGGAGGGCUCGGUGUCACCACCAUUUACCUCACGGCCACAUUUUCCGUCAACGUAUACCGUGGUCUCUCUUGGCAUAAAGCACAAUCGAAAAAUGAGAAAGAAGGAUCUGUAGUUCAGCAGGAAGAAUGACCUGUCUUCAAGUCCUACCCUUGGGGUCCUUCCAGAAAUUUCGGAGUAUAUCUGAAUCUUGUCGCAUUAUGUAACGACUUUUUCACAGUUUGUCCGUAGGAUAUUUAAAACACAGCAGCACUUCAUAAUCUUCUCCAUCCAACAAACAAAUUGGAUGGACAAAGUAUGUCAUGUUUAUUCAAAUUCCAUUGCUAUAUUGUUGCUGAAAUUCUACACAAAUACAUUUGGAGUUCCACAGUUGUAUGAUUAAUUCUAUUUACAAGCAACAUACAUAGAUAGCAUGGCAAUGAAUUUUCCUUUUUGAGUA